AUUGAACGCUGGCGGCAGGCCUAACACAUGCAAGUCGAGCGGAUGAAGGGAGCUUGCUCCUGGAUUCAGCGGCGGACGGGUGAGUAAUGCCUAGGAAUCUGCCUGGUAGUGGGGGAUAACGUCCGGAAACGGGCGCUAAUACCGCAUACGUCCUGAGGGAGAAAGUGGGGGAUCUUCGGACCUCACGCUAACAGAUGAGCCUAGGUCGGAUUAGCUAGUUGGUGGGGUAAAGGCCUACCAAGGCGACGAUCCGUAACUGGUCUGAGAGGAUGAUCAGUCACACUGGAACUGAGACACGGUCCAGACUCCUACGGGAGGCAGCAGUGGGGAAUAUUGGACAAUGGGCGAAAGCCUGAUCCAGCCAUGCCGCGUGUGUGAAGAAGGUCUUCGGAUUGUAAAGCACUUUAAGUUGGGAGGAAGGGCAGUAAGUUAAUACCUUGCUGUUUUGACGUUACCAACAGAAUAAGCACCGGCUAACUUCGUG
rnacentral:rRNA from 1 species